UGUGCUAAUACCGCAUAAUCUCUGAGGAGAAAAGUAGGGGAUCGCAAGACCUUGCGCUUUUGGAGCGGCCGAUGUCUGAUUAGCUUGUUGGUGAGGUAAAGGCUUACCAAGGCUUCGAUCAGUAGCUGGUCUGAGAGGACGGCCAGCCACACUGGGACUGAGACACGGCCCAGACUCCUACGGGAGGCAGCAGUGGGGAAUUUUGGACAAUGGGGGCAACCCUGAUCCAGCCAUGCCGCGUGAGUGAAGAAGGCCUUCGGGUUGUAAAGCUCUUUCAGCCGGAACGAAACGGUUACGAUUAAUACCCGUAACUACUGACGGUACCGGAAGAAGAAGCACCGGCUAACUACGUGCCAGCAGCCGCGGUAAUACGUAGGGUGCGAGCGUUAAUCGGAAUUACUGGGCGUAAAGCGUGCGCAGGUGGUUUUGUAAGUCAGAUGUGAAAUCCCCGGGCUUAACCUGGGAACUGCGUUUGAAACUACAAGGCUAGAGUGUGGCAGAGGGGGGUGGAAUUCCGCGUGUAGCAGUGAAAUGCGUAGAGAUGUGGAGGAACACCGAUGGCGAAGGCAGCCCCCUGGGUCAACACUGACGCUCAGGCACGAAAGCAUGGGGAGCAAACAGGAUUAGAUACCCUGGUAGUCCAUGCCCUAAACGAUGUCAACUAGUUGUCGGGUCCUUUACGGGCUUGGUAACGUAGCUAACGCGUGAAGUUGACCGCCUGGGGAGUACGAUCGCAAGAUUAAAACUCAAAGGAAUUGACGGGGACCCGCACAAGCGGUGGAUUAUGUGGAUUAAUUCGAUGCAACGCGAAAAACCUUACCUACCCUUGACAUGUAUUGGAGCCCGCAGAAAUGUGGAGGUGCCCGAAAGGGAACGAUAACACAGGUGCUGCAUGGCUGUCGUCAGCACGUGUCGUGAGAUGUUGGGUUAAGUCCCGCAACGAGCGCAACCCUUGUCAUUAAUUGCCAUCAUUCAGUUGGGCACUUUAAUGAGACUGCCGGUGACAAACCGGAGGAAGGUGGGGAUGACGUCAAGUCCUCAUGGCCCUUAUGGGUAGGGCUUCACACGUAAUACAAUGGCGCGUACAGAGGGUUGCCAACCCGCAAGGGGGAGCUAAUCUCAG
rnacentral:rRNA from 1 species